UUUCAGAAAAAUGUCGGCAUGAAGGACAGAGUAAUAGCAAAUUAUGGAACGGUUCAAAAUGUUAAUUCGAAAAAUAGCGAGAAAAAAGGAAUUGAACGCUAUGGUACAAAUAGACUGAGGAGUUGGGAGCUGGCAAUUAUUGUUCUGUUUUCCUGUAUGGGUUGUAUGGCAGCCAUGGCAACUAGAAACUUUACUAGCGGAUUCUAUUUUGAGUUCUUAAAGAAGAGGAAUUUAAACAGCACCAUCGGUACCAUUGCGAUCUCGAUGACACUUAUUACUACAGCGGUGAGUCCGUAUCUGUUUCGGUUCUUUCCAAAGGCCAUAACACAAAGUCCUGUCAUCACAAGAUGUGCAGUACUGUUCUUUCUCAAUGCACUUUUUCUAGCCCUGAUGGGAGUUCUAGACCUGGUUUUGGAAAGGUAUCCGGAUGGUCGACUGGCGUUCGUAAUAAUUUCCGUAUUGAGGUCACUCCAGGGAUUGACAACUGGCUUGCUAGUAUUGCUUUUGCAGGGAGAAAUGGUAGACCUCUAUCUGCAAGAAUACAAAAUUCUCAUAAUAAUAAUUAGCUGUUCCAUGCACGUAGCAAACAUCAUCUCAAGUAUUCUAGCAGCGCAACUGUAUUCAUGGGGUGGGUGGCUAUUUGUGGGACUAGGAUUAGCAGCUUUUACCUGCCUACCCUUGUUCCUAAUACCGGCAA